rnacentral:rRNA from 1 species
UGGGGAAUAUUGCACAAUGGGCGCAAGCCUGAUGCAGCGACGCCGCGUGGGGGAUGACGGCCUUCGGGUUGUAAACUCCUUUCGCUUGGGACGAAGCUUUUUGUGACGGUACCUAGAUAAGAAGCACCGGCUAACUACGUGCCAGCAGCCGCGGUAAUACGUAGGGUGCGAGCGUUGUCCGGAAUUACUGGGCGUAAGGGGCUCGUAGGUGGUUUGUAGGGUCGUCUGUGAAAUUCCGGGGCUUAACUCAGGACGUGCAGGCGAUACGGGCAUAACUUGAGUACUGUAGGGGUAACUGAAAUUCCUGGUGUAGCAGUGAAAUGCGCAGAUAUCAGGAGGAACACCGAUGGCGAAGGCAGGUUACUGGGCAGUUACUGACGCUGAGGAGCGAAAGCAUGGGUAGCGAACAGG